rnacentral:rRNA from 1 species
GACGAACGCUGGCGGCGUGCUUAACACAUGCAAGUCGAACGCUGAAGCUCAGCUUUUGUUGGGUGGAUGAGUGGCGAACGGGUGAGUAACACGUGAGUAACCUGCCUCCUUCUUUGGGAUAACGCCCGGAAACGGGUGCUAAUACUGGAUAUUCACUGGUCUUCGCAUGGGGGUUGGUGGAAAGGGUUUUUCUGGUGGGGGAUGGGCUCGCGGCCUAUCAGCUUGUUGGUGGGGUGAUGGCCUACCAAGGCUUUGACGGGUAGCCGGCCUGAGAGGGUGACCGGUCACAUUGGGACUGAGAUACGGCCCAGACUCCUACGGGAGGCAGCAGUGGGGAAUAGUGCACAAUGGGCGCAAGCCUGAUGCAGCGACGCCGCGUGAGGGAUGGAGGCCGUCGGGUUGUGAACCUCUUUCGCUCAUGGUCAAGCCGCAACAAUGGUUGUGGUGAGGGUAGUGGGUAAAGAAGCGCCGGCUAACUACGUG